GAUGAACGCUGGCGGCGUGCCUAAUACAUGCAAGUCGAGCGAACAGACGAGGAGCUUGCUCCUCUGACGUUAGCGGCGGACGGGUGAGUAACACGUGGAUAACCUACCUAUAAGACUGGGAUAACUUCGGGAAACCGGAGCUAAUACCGGAUAAUAUAUUGAACCGCAUGGUUCAAUAGUGAAAGACGGUUUUGCUGUCACUUAUAGAUGGAUCCGCGCCGCAUUAGCUAGUUGGUAAGGUAACGGCUUACCAAGGCAACGAUGCGUAGCCGACCUGAGAGGGUGAUCGGCCACACUGGAACUGAGACACGGUCCAGACUCCUACGGGAGGCAGAAGUAGGGAAUCUUCCGCAAUGGGCGAAAGCCUGACGGAGCAACGCCGCGUGAGUGAUGAAGGUCUUCGGAUCGUAAAACUCUGUUAUUAGGGAAGAACAAAUGUGUAAGUAACUAUGAACGUCUUGACGGUACCUAAUCAGAAAGCCACGGCUAAAUACGUG
rnacentral:rRNA from 1 species